CAGGGAACUAGGGAAGAAGAAAGAGGGGAGAAGAGAAGGGGAGAGGAGAAGGAGGAGAAGGAAGAGAAGGAGGAGAAGGAGGGUGUGGUCGUCUCCGUCGUGGUGCUGCGGUCGUUCUCGUCGUCGAUGUCCAUCGCCGGUAAGUGGUAUUUUUUCUGGUUUUGUUAGUAGUAGUAGUAGUCGGUAAUUAGUAGUAGUAGUGUAGUAAUUAGUUAGUAGUAGUCGUAGUUAGUAGUAGUAAGUAUGUCGGCUAUUGUGCCGUAUGUGAUGUUGAUGGCCUUAUGGAUGUGUGGCAUUCGUGUCGU
rnacentral:lncRNA from 1 species